GUUUCAAUUGUAUAUCUUGUAUCUCAUUUUCAGAACUUAGAGGCAAGAAGCUUCUUGAGUGUGAGAAAAGAGUUUAACAGGAAGAAAAGCAAACAGUCAUAACCACUUAUUUAUCAACGCCGUCGCUGGCUACUGCAGCUCUUACCAGCUCUACUGGUAAGCAACGCUGGAAAAAUUGGUAAAGAGGCAAGUUGAAAUGUUCGAACAGCAGUUUUGGGAAUUCUCCAGCACUCAUCAGCAUGACUCUUCUACACACCGAGCUUCCCAGUCAGUGAGGAGGCAGAGUCAUUUGCUGGAACAGCAGUCUUGGGAAUUCUCUAGCUCUCUGCAACAUGACUCUUCUACACACCGAGCUUCCCAGUAAGUCCAGUCUUUUUCAUAGACCCACGGUCUAUUAUUUCAUGUUAGCUAAUUAGUAAUGCUAAUUGGAUUUCAAAUCAAUUAGCAAAAUGUUGUUGAUUGUCAUUUCAAUCUAUAAUUAAUAGAUUUGUAUUAGAAUCCCCUCUUGCGACCCAGAAAUUAAGACUGUUCCAGCCAACUCCAUCACCAGCAUCUCUGUUUGAUUUCUCAGGUCAGUAAAGAGGCAGGAUCACUUGCUAGAACAGCAGUCUUGGGAAUUCUCUAGCACUCUGCAACAUGACUCUUCUACACACCAGGCUACCCAGUAAGUCCAAACUCUUUCAUUUUUAGACUUCUGUAGUCCCAUUAAAUAGACUCAUUAAUUGCACACACCUG
ensembl:lncRNA